rnacentral:lncRNA from 1 species
GACAAAGGAGAGGCUGGACCGAGCACUUCCUUAUACUGAUAGGAUAUUCCCUUAACCUGUCUCAUGGCAGUGCCUAUGGACAUUCCUCCCAUUCUCCAUUAUCAUGUCUAGAGUAUUCUGGACCACUUUCUUUUCUCUUCUGAGGAAUCCAACCGGUAAAGACAGACUUGCUCUUGGAAAUCCUGAAUUCUACAAUGAGGGAACCCUCUUGAAGACUGGACUAGCCCUUCAGAACCAACGGAAGUUCAAGAGUCAAAGAGAGCUGUCUCAUAAGAUCCAAAUGAGAGCAUGGCAGAAGAGCCACAAGGCUUCUUGUACCAGGUGGAAGACAAGAGCUCUGUCCAAAGGUCCUGGCUUUGGAGUCUCAGUAUUUACCACUGGGCCUUCUUCCCUGGUCGAAAGAAUCCACAAAUGUUGGCUGAAAUUGAAGUCUGUGAAAUUACAAUGGCCAAUAUUGGCCUGAAGACACAGGAGAAGACACAGAAGAAACCUCUAUCUUCUUUACAGGCUUAGCUAACUCUGCAGUGCACUGCACAUCAUAUUGGGUUCAUGGGUUUGUGACUCUCACUGAAUUGUUUUUAAAAUAUUUCUAUUCUUUUUUUUUUUAAGAGGAAAGAUUUUCUUUGAGGAGGAGAUGGGAUGGAUACCUUGGAAAAUGUAACUGAUGAGAAAAUAAAUGGGAAAAAAAGCAUUAGCA